AGAUACUCGUUUUAGAGGAAUUUUGCUUAACCUUAAAAUUUAAAUUAUUCGGGCAUACGCACAUAGAAAAAGGUAAAAAAGAAAGAAUCAAAUUUUUUAUUAUUAUUGAAAUAAUUAAAUUAUAUAGAUGUGUGUACGCGUUCUUGAAUGACUUAUAUAUUUGUAUUGCUCUAAAACCAACUUAGAUUUGUAUUUGUUUUUUUUGGUUACAAGGCUAAAAAAAGAAAAGAAAAGGACAAACAACAAAAGCCUUAAGAAAAGCGUUCCUAGCUCAUCCGACUAUGGCAAAGGGAGGAGGCCCUCUUGGGGGGUGAAGUGAAUAGCUAAAUCCACAUCAUUCGAAGCACCAAGCUUGGCCAAGAAAUCAGCGCACUGGUUUCCUUCUCUUACGGUAUGAUGGAGAGAGAAGUUUCUUAAGCUGAGAAGAUCUUUUAUGUUCUGAAUGAGCACGGCAUAGACAUGGAAAUGAUUUAAAUCUUCUUGAAUCAGGUUGAUAGUCAGCAUCGAAUACGAAUAGCAAGCCACUCCCUCGAAAUUCAGAUUAAUAGCAAUGAUGAUGCCUUGAUGAAGAGCUGAAAGGUCAGCGAAGAGAAUGUCAUUGGAGUGACUGAUAAACCCCAAAAAAGCUGAAAUAAAACUGUCGGAAUGAUCGGUUAGAUUUGUAUUUGUGAUAAGACAAGAUUUUUUAUUUUUUUUAACAAGCUAAAAUGGAAUUAU
rnacentral:lncRNA from 1 species